GUAGAAGUGGUCCAAUGAUGGGAGUGUCUUGCUUUCUUGAACUUAGUCUGCGACAGCCAGAUUGACAUGAGAAGGUCCCACCUCUAACGUCUUGAUAGCAUCCCAUGCUUUGAGUAAGUCAACUUGAUGUGGGAGGGUAGCGUCCGAAGUGAUGAAGACGUAGGCUUUUACAACUAUGGUGACCCACGGUGGUGAGAUGAUAUACCUAGAACUGGGAUCCGAACCAACAGUUAUAGGUUUUCUGGCGUGCCCCUGGGACGCAACUCUGCGACGACCGAAUAAGCAAACAAUCUUCACUGGUGUGGUACACACAAACAUGAAUCAUAAUCAGGGCUAAUAUAGGAUUCGAACCCAAGAACAUAGGAUUCUGGCACGCCUGAAGGGACGCAACUCUGCACAGCGAACUUCGGCGUCUGCGACGUCUGUGCCAGUCCUGCUGAUUUCACUUCACAACCAUGACUACCCCAGCUCUCGACAUAUCCACCCCAUCCCACAGCAUAAGCACCACAGCUCUCACCAUACUAAAGCGUCCCAACCCCCAGCGUAACUAUACCACCGCUCACACCAUGAUAACCCCCUCCAUCCACAACACACCCGUGAAGAUUCCGGGGUAGAAUAGG